UACGUAGGGUGCGAGCGUUAAUCGGAAUUACUGGGCGUAAAGCGUGCGCAGGCGGUUCGUUGUGUCUGUGGUGAAAGCCCCGGGCUUAACCUGGGAAUGGCCAUGGAAACUGGCGAGCUGGAGUGUGGCAGAGGGGGGUGGAAUUCCGCGUGUAGCAGUGAAAUGCGUAGAUAUGCGGAGGAACACCGAUGGCGAAGGCAAUCCCCUGGGCCUGCACUGACGCUCAUGCACGAAAGCGUGGGGAGCAAACGGG
rnacentral:rRNA from 1 species